UUACCAGGGCUUGACAUCCCCUGACCGCGUAUGAAAGUACGUUUUCACCCUCGGGUGACAGGGAGACAGGUGGUGCAUGGUUGUCGUCAGCUCGUGUCGUGAGAUGUUGGGUUAAGUCCCGCAACGAGCGCAACCCCUACGUUUAGUUGCUAACAGGUGAAGCUGAGCACUCUAGACGAACUGCCGUUGACAAAACGGAGGAAGGUGGGAUGACGUCAAAUCAUCAUGCCCCUUAUGUUCUGGGCUACACACGUGCUACAAUGGCCGGUACAGACGGAGGCGAAGCCGCGAGGCGGAGCAAAUCCGAAAAAGCCGGUCUCAGUUCGGAUUGCAGGCUGCAAUUCGCCUGCAUGAAGUCGGAAUCGCUAGUAAUCGCAGGUCAGCAUACUGCGGUGAAUACGUUCCCGGGCCUU
rnacentral:rRNA from 1 species